CAAGUCGAACGAAUCCAGGGGGCUUGCUCUCUGGGGGAAGUGGCGAAAGGGGCAGUAAUGCGUGGGUAACCUACCCCGGGGACGGGGAUAGCCGCCCUAACGGGCGGGUAAUACCUGGCGAUCUGGCGAGAGGGCAUCCCCUUGUCAGGAAAUGAAUUUCGCCUCGGGAGGGGCUCACGUGGUAUUAGCUUGUUGGUGGGAUAACGGCCCACCAAGGCCGAGAUGCCUGGCGGGUGUGAGAGCACGACCCGCGCCACUGGCACUGUGACACUGGCCAGACUCCUACGGGAGGCUGCAGUCGAGGAUCUUCGGCAAUGGGCGCAAGCCUGACCGAGCGACGCCGCGUGUGCGAUGAAGGCCUUCGGGUUGUAAAGCACUGUCGAGGGGGAGGAAGCCGCAAGGUUGAUCGACCCCUGGAGGAAGCACGGGCUAAGUUCGUGCCAGCAGCCGCGGUAAGACGAACCGUGCGAACGUCGUUCGGAUUCACUGGGCUUAAAGGGCGCGUA
rnacentral:rRNA from 1 species